UACGUAGGGUGCGAGCGUUGCUCGGAAUUAUUGGGCGUAAAGAGUUCGUAGGCGGUUUGUCGCGUCGACUGUGAAAACCCGAGGCUUAACCUCGGGCCUGCAGUCGAUACGGGCAGACUAGAGUUCGGUAGGGGAGACUGGAAUUCCUGGUGUAGCGGUGAAAUGCGCAGAUAUCAGGAGGAACACCGGUGGCGAAGGCGGGUCUCUGGGCCGAUACUGACGCUGAGGAGCGAAAGCGUGGGGAGCGAACAGG
rnacentral:rRNA from 1 species